CUCUCCCUAGAUAACCACAUGUAGCCCCUCGCCCUGUUUGAGAUUAACAUGUGUGCAUUGAUGUAAUUCAUUGAUAGCCACCUGAACUGAUAGAGACAGGACCGAGCUCUCAGGUAAGGAAUGCCGGCCCCCUGCAUCCGGACCAGACCAGCCCAGAGGACAGCACCACCGGGAUCCCCUUUAAGUCUGUACUCGCAGCAUCAGGAACUUGUGGCCCCCUCAUCCUACUAGAUGCCCAAAGCUCUCCGAUGUGUCUGGAUCACUUGGAACUCCCAAAGCCGGGCAGCUGUACUACACCGGGCCCAGCAGCAGUGACCUGACCCAGGACCUGGUUAGAAAUGCAGACCUGGAUCCCAGCCCAGACCUGCUGAGUCAGAGCCUGCAUCUCCUAACAAGAUUCCUCGUGACUUGUGUGCACAUGUAAAGAAGCACUAAAAUGGUGAUAUAGGUAAAUGUAGUACUUGCUGCCUCUCACAACCACAUCAAAAUUACAACUAAAAUACAGAACAACCAUCUUUUGGAACCACCUGAAAUCUGGCUGAAUGGAAGUCCUACA